UAUACAUGCAAGUCGAGCGAACGUUUUAAGAAGCUUGCUUCUUAAAACGUUAGCGGCGGACGGGUGAGUAACACGUGGGCAACCUGCCCUGCAGAUGGGGAUAACUCCGGGAAACCGGGGCUAAUACCGAAUAAUCAGUUCCUCCGCAUGGAGGAACUCUGAAAGACGGUUUCGGCUGUCACUGCAGGAUGGGCCCGCGGCGCAUUAGCUAGUUGGUGGGGUAAUGGCCUACCAAGGCGACGAUGCGUAGCCGACCUGAGAGGGUGAUCGGCCACACUGGGACUGAGACACGGCCCAGACUCCUACGGGAGGCAGCAGUAGGGAAUCUUCCACAAUGGACGAAAGUCUGAUGGAGCAACGCCGCGUGAGCGAAGAAGGUUUUCGGAUCGUAAAGCUCUGUUGUGAGGGAAGAACAAGUACGAGAGUAACUGCUCGUACCUUGACGGUACCUCAUUAGAAAGCCACGGCUAACUACGUGCCAGCAGCCGCGGUAAUACGUAGGUGGCAAGCGUUGUCCGGAAUUAUUGGGCGUAAAGCGCGCGCAGGCGGUCCUUUAAGUCUGAUGUGAAAGCCNNCGGCUCAACCGUGGAGGGUCAUUGGAAACUGGGGGACUUGAGUACAGAAGAGGAAAGCGGAAUUNCACGUGUAGCGGUGAAAUGCGUAGAGAUGUGGAGGAACACCAGUGGCGAAGGCGGCUUUCUGGUCUGUAACUGACGCUGAGGCGCGAAAGCGUGGGGAGCAAACAGGAUUAGAUA
rnacentral:rRNA from 1 species